rnacentral:misc_RNA from 1 species
AACAUCGCGCACCUGCGGGAACCUGCGGAGGGAUCAUUAAUGAUUGGUGGCUGUUGCUGACUAGUGUUUCUAGUAUGUGCACGCCACACCUUCAAUCCACUUACACCUGUGCACCUUCUGUAAUAGAUCUAUGUGGAUACGGAGAUAUGAAAGUUUGCGCUCUCGUACUCUGUUGUAGCAGUCUACUACGUUUUUUUACACACACACAAUAGUCAUUGAAUGUAUUUUUUAUUCUUAUGA